UAGUUGGUGGGGUAAAGGCCUACCAAGGCGACGAUCAGUAGCGGGUCUGAGAGGAUGAUCCGCCACACUGGAACUGAGACACGGUCCAGACUCCUACGGGAGGCAGCAGUGGGGAAUUUUGGACAAUGGGGGCAACCCUGAUCCAGCCAUUCCGCGUGAGUGAAGAAGGCCUUCGGGUUGUAAAGCUCUUUCAGCUGGAACGAAACGGUACAUCCUAAUACGGUGUGCUAAUGACGGUACCAGCAGAAGAAGCACCGGCUAACUACGUGCCAGCAGCCGCGGUAAUACGUAGGGUGCGAGCGUUAAUCGGAAUUACUGGGCGUAAAGCGUGCGCAGGCGGAUUGUUAAGCAAGAUGUGAAAUCCCCGGGCUUAACCUGGGAAUGGCAUUUUGAACUGGCAGUCUAGAGUGUGUCAGAGGGGGGUGGAAUUCCACGUGUAGCAGUGAGAUGCGUAGAGAUGUGGAGGAACACCAAUGGCGAAGGCAGCCCCCUGGGAUAACACUGACGCUCAUGUACGAAAGCGUGGGUAGCAAACAGGAUUAGAUACCCUGGUAGUCCACGCCCUAAACGAUGUCAACUGGUUGUUGGGGGAGUGAAAUCCCUUAGUAACGAAGCUAACGCGUGAAGUUGACCGCCUGGGGAGUACGGUCGCAAGAUUAAAACUCAAAGGAAUUGACGGGGACCCGCACAAGCGGUGGAUGAUGUGGAUUAAUUCGAUGCAACGCGAAAAACCUUACCUACCCUUGACAUGUCCAGAACCCUGCAGAGAUGCGGGGGUGCCCGAAAGGGAAUUGGAACACAGGUGCUGCAUGGCUGUCGUCAGCUCGUGUCGUGAGAUGUUGGGUUAAGUCCCGCAACGAGCGCAACCCUUAUCAUUAGUUGCUACGCAAGGGCACUCUAAUGAGACUGCCGG
rnacentral:rRNA from 1 species